AUUGAACGCUGGCGGCAGGCUUAACACAUGCAAGUCGAGCGGAGCGAAGGUGCUUGCACCUUAGCUUAGCGGCGGACGGGUGAGUAAUGCUUAGGAAUCUGCCUAUUAGUGGGGGACAACGUUUCGAAAGGAACGCUAAUACCGCAUACGUCCUACGGGAGAAAGCAGGGGAUCUUCGGACCUUGUGCUAAUAGAUGAGCCUAAGUCGGAUUAGCUAGUUGGUGGGGUAAAGGCCUACCAAGGCGACGAUCUGUAGCGGGUCUGAGAGGAUGCUCCGGCACACUGGGACUGAGACACGGCCCAGACUCCUACGGGAGGAAGCAGUGGGGAAUAUUGGAAAAUGGGCGAAAGCCUGAUCCAGCCAUGCCGCGUGUGUGAAGAAGGCCUUUUGGUUGUAAAGCACUUUAAGCGAGGAGGAGGAGCUUCAGGUUAAUACCCUGGAUGCUUGGACGUUACUCGCAGAAUAAGCACCGGCUAACUCUGUGCCAGCCGCCGCAGUAAGAC
rnacentral:rRNA from 1 species